rnacentral:lncRNA from 1 species
CAUUUCUAUAAAAUCAAACUUUCAUCUUAUGGUAAAAAGAAGCCUGUUGGAUAGCAUAUGUAAAGUAUGAUCCUAAUUUUCUUAGUAUUCUGUUUUCCCCUCAAACUCCUACUCAGAUCUCUGUUAGUUGUUAUCAAUCAGUUCUAUAGGGGAAGAAAUAAAACCACAUGCAAAAUGAAAUGAAUGAUACAAUGAAGAGAACAUACAUGCAAUAUCCCCUCUACCCCUUCCCCCCAGAAAUUCAGGACUUUUCUCUAUGGAUACCUUGAAAAAGGAAUGGACGGUGGUAAAUACACCAUGUGACUAUACCAUUUUUCCCCCUUUAAUUAGGAACAAACACACACACACACAAAGGAGGGAUUAAAAUUCGCUUUUUGUGGCUCACU